UGGCGACCAUAGCAUUGUGGACCCACCUGACUCCAUGCCGAACUCAGUAGUGAAACGCAAUAGCGCCGAUGGUAGUGUGGGGCUUCCCCAUGCGAGAGUAGGACAUCGCCAGGCU
rnacentral:rRNA from 1 species